rnacentral:rRNA from 1 species
UGGGGAAUCUUCGGCAAUGGGCGCAAGCCUGACCGAGCGACGCCGCGUGGAGGACGAAGGCCUUCGGGUUGUAAACUCCUGUCGAGGGGGAAGAAGGUCCGCAAGGGCUUGACUGAUCCCUGGAGGAAGCACGGGCUAAGUUCGUG